rnacentral:rRNA from 1 species
UACGAAGGGGGCUAGCGUUGCUCGGAAUGACUGGGCGUAAAGGGCGCGUAGGCGGUUUGUACAGUCAGGUGUGAAAUUCCCGGGCUCAACCUGGGGGCUGCACUUGAUACGUAUGGACUGGAGUGGGGAAGAGGGUCGUGGAAUUCCCAGUGUAGAGGUGAAAUUCGUAGAUAUUGGGAAGAACACCGGCGGCGAAGGCGGCGACCUGGUCCUUGACUGACGCUGAGGCGCGAAAGCUAGGGGAGCAAACAGG